GUGCAGUGAUGAUGAAACUUAGCUCACUUUGACCCCAUGUGAAACGACAGGAACAUCUGAGCAUC
ensembl:snoRNA SNORD29 Small nucleolar RNA SNORD29